rnacentral:rRNA from 1 species
GACGAACGCUGGCGGCGUGCUUAACACAUGCAAGUCGAACGGAAAGGCCCUGCUUUUGUGGGGUGCUCGAGUGGCGAACGGGUGUGUAACACGUGAGUAACCCGCCCUUGCCUUUGGGAUAACUUCAGGAAACUGGGGCUAAUACCGGAUAGGAGCUCCUGCUGCAUGGGGGGGGAUGGAAAGUUUCGGCGGUUGGGGAUGGACUCGCGGCUUAUCUGCUGGUUGGUGGGGGAGUGGCUUACCAAGGCUUUGACGGGUAGCCGGCCUGGGGGGUUGACCGGCCACUUUGGGACUGGGAUAGGGCCCGGACUCCUACGGGGGGCAGCGGUGGGGAAUUUUGCCCAAUGGGCGGAGGCCGGUUGCGGGACGGCCGCGUGCGGGAUGACGGCCUUCGGUUGGUAAACCGCUUUCGCCUGGGACGAAGCGUUUGUGACGGUAAUGGGUAAAGAAGCACCGGCUAACUACGUG